rnacentral:rRNA from 1 species
UACGUAGGUGACAAGCGUUGUCCGGAUUUACUGGGCGUAAAGAGCGCGCAGGCGGUCGAUCAAGUCGCGUGUGAAAGCCCCCGGCUCAACUGGGGAGGGUCACUCGUGACUGAUCGACUCGAAGGCAGGAGAGGGUAGUGGAAUUCCCGGUGUAGUGGUGAAAUGCGCAGAUAUCAGGAAGAACACCAGUGGCGAAGGCGGCUC